AGGAAUGAAAGGUAGAACAAGAGGAGGAGGAGGAGGAGGAGGAAAGGAAAGACGAAGAGGAAUAGGAAGAGGAAAGACGACCAAUGGGAUGAUUUCCGAAACCGUUGUGGAAAUUUCUCUUACAAUGCUUCGACCCAUUAGUUUCCUGAUAACUCGAACGAUGCGUUAAGAAUUCCAUCAUGCUUACAAAUACAUAGACACAGCAUACUCUGGUAAAUCUGUAUAAAGUUGAAAUGAUUCAGUAAUAUUAGAUUCCUUUUCAUUCGGAGAAGAUAUGCAGACGCUCAGUAGAAAGAAAUCGAGACGAAAAGAAUGAAAUCACUGCAGACGGCGUUCAGUUCAUAUGAACUUCAGUUAAGUGACAAACGUUUGAAUCGCAAAGCCAGAGAUCACAUUUUUUUUUUUUAUCAAGACUUUUCCUUCGCAUUCUUUUGUAAGGAAAUGAAUUACAAAGGAAGAAACAUUGAACUUAGAGAAAAAUAAUUUGACUGCUACAGUAUGAAAACGCACCUGCUCACUCGCCAUUCGUUGUUGCUAUCUUUUUGGUACAACAACAAAUGAUUUUCUUCCACCAGACAGCUUAGUUGCCAAAUUUUGUCGCUGCAAACAUUUUUUCCCGAAGGUAAAAUCUAGAUUGAAAGGUAUCUGAUUUCAACGACAGAAGAGAUAAAAGAAAGAACAUUUUACUACACCUGCAAAAUACGGCGGAAAACGAAUUCCAAAAUUGAAACCUAAAACAUUUGAGCUGUGUAUAAUCAAAGAAUGGAACAUUAACAUUCAAAAUUGCAAUAACUAAUGCUAUUCUAAGUAAAGCAAUAGAUUUCAUAUGCAUUUCUACUUUUAAA